CGACAGCGCACCUCCGACCCCUUCUCCCCGUCCGACUCCCUCCCACGUCUGCUGCUGCUACCUUGUAGGGGCUGCAGUUUUCAGGCAGUGACACGGGAAAAGGCAUUGGAGCUAGAGACCUGGCUGUAAUUUCGAGGACACUUGUGCGAAGAUUUACUACAGCUGCAGCAGCGGGAGCGCGAUGACGGCCGUGGCGGCAAUUGACAGCAGCAGAGCGAGCAUGCAUGAGUGGCUGUAGUAGGUGAGGAUGAUGCUUCCUUAUCAAACUGGAACGACAGAGUUUACUAAUUGUGACUUAUAUGUUUUUUUUCGUUAUUGUCUGUAUCUAGGUUACUCUCUUGCUUAGCCUCAUGGAUAGCAGAUGAUGUUGAUGGGAGCACUCGUAUGCAUAUCCCUUAAAUGUUUAGUGUCAAAUAUGCAUUACUUUUAAUUAAUCAAACCACUGUCCAGCUAGUUGGUAAAAUCUGUAGCUGUUUUUUAAGUCAUGCCUGAUUGUUAUACAUUAUCAAUUUAAUCUUCUUUUUAUAAAUCCUCUAAGUGAAGAUAACUGCUGCCAAGUGGAUGAUCUUUAAUUUUCUACGUCAUGCUAUAGCCAUGAAUAUAUACUGAUUUAUGCCUCUGCGCAUAUUUGUAUGGAUGAGGCCAUGGAUGUGGCCAUACAGGACCUCCUCCAUGACCUGAAUCUGAAGACCAUGUAGGGCGUGACCAUGGAGUGCAGGAGGUUGCUCCCAAGGACCACCACUGCGACCUCACUGCUGUCGUUCAGGGCCACGUCAACACUGCAAUGUUUUUUUUUGCUUUGUUUGUCAGCAUUGGGCCUCCAUUAUUUGGUUAAGCAUGUCAUCAUAUUGUUGAUGUGGAGCUGACUCCUUUGUAUUAAUCAUGUUGGCUGCUGUCCGUCCUCCGUUUACAUUAGAUUUCGAGGGCGGUGAGACCUGAAACCUUAGUUUCUGGUGCUGAAGUAGAGAUGCAUGCAUUUGUAAAAUGGGCAUGUGUACAACAGAUGCUAGAUUUCAGAGUUAGACUAUGGUCUAGUAAUUAAUCUAGCUUGUUCUGUUUGCACAUUCAGUCAAAAAAUUAGCACAAAAAGCAACAUGUCUGUGUAUGAACAAUCAUAUUAAAAUCUUAGUAUUUAGUUGAAUUAGGUAUUGGUCGAGGCCCUAAUAUCCUUCUUUGGUCCUGCCCACAGCAUUUAGUUAAUUAUUGUCCUGAUACUAAUUGCAUCUUCUGGUAAUGCUGAAGCUCUGCUACUGAAGCAUCUAGUCAGGUGCAGCUAGUUCCAUCAUGUACUGAUGUGUUGUUGAUUUAAGAGCUACCAUGGUUUAGUCUUGCUAGCACUUCUAGAUCUUUUUUUGCAUAGAUAAUAAUGAUCUCUUGGAGUACUGAAUCCUAAAUGCUCAAUGUUGGUAGUACGAAUUGGUAAUCUUCUGUUUGUACCAUGCUAUUUGAUACUGCAUACCUGUUUGUUAAAUAUAUUCCUGGUUUAAUUUUCUACUGCCUACAUUUGAACCAUUGAAUGCUAAGGGCUGUUUGCUCUAUACAUUGUGUUUGUGUGAUUUUGAUGUGCACAUUUAUAUGUUAACUAGUAAAAAGAGACUCUUGUCCUGUAGAUGUUUGAGUGCUACUCCUACCAUCUUACAGUUGAAAUUCUCUUUCUUUUUUUUUGCUAAACUAAGACUCCAUGACAACAGCCAUUAAAUUACUUGCAGUCUGCCAAUAGUAGUAAUAUUGUUUUGUUGCCAGGUUCAAAUUUACUUGUGCUUCUCACUGAAGCUAAAGCUAGUUUAUGUGGUUUGUGUGAUUUAAAGCAGAUCUUGUUUAGGUAAACUAGUUCUUAUCUUUGUUCUUGUGCUAUUUCUGGUUAUAGAAUAGAUAAGAACAGAGUUUGCUGUACUAACCAUGAAUAGGUGCGCACUACUUGUAAGAUGGAUUACCCAGAGACAACUGAGACAUGUCUCGAGCAUCAAUCACACAAUGUAUUUCAUAUCACUGGACUGUUGCGUUCCAGAGCAUCUUCGUAGCUGUUAAGAAUGUUGUAUGGUGCGGUGGCAGCAAUGCUUGGCCUCGGCUACAACCUCUCCGGUGAGCUCCUGGUUCACCCUUCGAUCUCCAGCUCUUGUGUGCUCUGUUAUACGACGGACAUCUAGCUGUGGUUAUUAUGUGCUUUGGCGUAUCAGCCGAUGACCUAAAUAUUUCUGGGAACAUGAAGUCUCCUUUGGUUCACUUUUUUUUAUAAUAUCAAGUGAGCUUUUAUCUUGACAAAAUCGCCAUCUUACCUCUGAUACAUCCUUGCAUUCUUUUUGUUUUUAUUAUACAUGUUGAAUUAGCUCCAUUGAAGCCUUAAUCGAGCUAAGCAUAGUGGCAGAUGGCACUUGUCUAGCUGCUAUUUUUUAUACCGCUGUUGUGUCUUGUUCAUUUGGUUUCUGUCGCUGUUGAUGAACUACAGUCAGUUUCUAGCCUGCAACAAGAUGAAACCCAGUACAUUGAUACCAAUGCUGCUGAGUUGUGCGGUUUUAUAUUUUGUGGCUGGUGUUUGAGUAUGAAAAUAAUUCAUGCUGACUAAUUCUUUUAGUAGCUUGUGGUAGUUGUUUCAAUUGGUCAGACAUGUAUUGCUGGAGUAGAUUAGUGUAUAUUGUUUCUUGUUUCUUUGCUCCAGUCAUGACAUUUUAGGAAAAUUUGCUUAGCCAAAGAUGUAAUGUUUACUGUAUUGUAUUGAUGUUGAGCUUUGUCACCUACUCUCCGGUGGCAGUGGUUCUGCUGCUGUGUUUAUGUGUAGUAUUCAGUCGCAUUUUGACAAAGUCAUAAUAGUUUUCUUUGUAAGCAUAAGUUGCAUAUUCUGUUAGUUAAACUUUGUAGAUGGAUGGGCAAUUGAUCGCUUGAAUUAUUUGGCAUGUGGUCCGGAACCGAGGAGAUACUGGUGGACCAAGUUGGCUGGGGAGGAGCAGUUUGAGCACGAUGACUCUUUUUCCGGCAACGGCAACGGCAACGGUGAAACGAAAGAGGAGCACUGGUGGCCGUGGUUGUGUUAUAUAGUUUCGGGUCUUGUAAUAAUAUCCAGUCUAGUUUUCAGAAGUUGUAUUUGUUUCUUUUGUAAUAAUCAUAUCUGUCGAAUUAAACUUGUAGCGAAGUGGGUAGAUUUGCAUUA